CCAGUGUCCAUGCUCACCGCAGGUGAAACCUGCAUCUUCUUCUGUGUUUUGUCCAUUCUGAGGUGCCUUUUGACCUCAGUUGCUCCUCCUGUCUCUGGCACACCCUUUCUUCUGCUGCCCGAUCAUCCGUGUUGGUCCAUCACUGUCCUGCACAGUGUUAAUGCAGAGUUAUCAAGGUCAGCAUUCUUUUGCUCGGCCUUACUUUUCAUUCGGGCUUAAUGGGCGUCUCGUCACAGCUCUGUCAGCUGAAGCUGUCUGGAAAUCUCCUCCGUGUAGUGAAACGAGCCUUGGAUUUAACGCUCCCCGUCUCUGCUGCAUGAGAUCGCUUUCCUGUAGCACUGUUGACAUUUUUAGAUUGUUGUUAUGGGUCCAGCUGCUGCAGCAUUUGGUCAGGGUCAAGGUCAGAGAUGGUAGAGGGGAGAGCAGGAGUCCAGGUCAGCUUCGGCUUUCAGGACUGGCAAAGCAGCCUGUGAUUAAACAUAAAGAGAAAAAACAAAAACAAAACAAAAACAGACGAACAGGAAAAUGAUGUUGUAUUGGCUGUGUUAUUCAGAGAGGGGAGAAACACCGGGCCAGGCCCUGUGUCAGCCUUCUCUCCCCCCUUUUUUUGUGUUUUUUCUCACCAUAUAAUCAACUCAUAACCCACCAAGUUGACAGGACAACACAGGUAGAUAUUUAAAUUCUUAAGAACAUCGUCAGUAAUCACUUGUGUUGUUCAAUCAGCAGAAAACAUCUCACAAUUUGUUGUAUUACCAACUAAAUUUGUCUGAUUACUGCUUGGUCAUACCAGACUCUCUCUUUUAUUUUAUUUUUUUUAAUUUUUAUUUUCUAUUUUCACAAACG
ensembl:lncRNA